rnacentral:misc_RNA from 1 species
GGGAGAUUUAACAGUCUGAGCAUCAGGCUCGUGAAGGAUGGUUCGGUAAACUUGGCCAGUGAGUGAGGCGGUGGCUUGAUUUGUGCAUUAACAUCCUUUUGCCCCCUGAUUAUUUUGGGUUUUCAUUAGCCCGGUUUGAUUGGCCUGCUAUGUAUGUAACCACGAUCUGGUGUCUGGCUGAUGGGGUGCAAUGUCUAAGCUUCUUGUAUGCAUCCAUGUGAUGCUUCUGCUGGUGGUG